ACUGAAGCCUAGAAACAAAUGCGUAGCGCCCUGAAGGGCGGACAUAGAGUUUGAUUUCGGAACGGAAGUCCAAGGUUUGGGUUCCCACCCGGACAGGAGUGGCGGAGACUCUUGCGCAGGCGCAGUGACCAGAGUCUCGAUCUUGUCACCCAGGCUGGAGUGCAGUGGCACAAUCUCAGCUCGCUGCAACUUGUGCCUCGUGAGUUCAAACAAUUCUCCUGCCUCAGCCUCCCAAGUAGCCGGGAUUACAGGCACCCACCACCACACCCAGAGCCGGAUUGCACCGUCUUGGCCGAGUCCUGGGAGAGCAGCAGCCUCCAGCGCCUCCGCUGUGCUCGGCCAAGUGGAACCCCUGAACAAAUGCCCUCGAGAGUGGCCCGGCCCGGCUGGCUGCAGUUGGAGACACAGCGCCAUCUAGUGGAAGAAAGAAAAAAGGCCCCCCCCCCGUCGCUUUUUUCUUUUUGAAAAUUAGUGGAGAAACCUUGAAAUGGACUUAGAAUCAACCGUCCUCGUUUGAUACCAAAGGAGCUUGAGGCCAGAGCAAAUCCAGAGAAGGAUAUGGAUUUCCUGAAUGUCACACAGCCAGCCAGUGGCAGCUUUGACGCUACAGAACCUCAUCGUUUGAGACGCAGUUCAGCAGUCUUGGUACCCUGCCACGGUGAGGAAACCAGAAGGUGAAAAAGCUAAUUUCGGUUGAGUGGCAUUUCAGAGCUCCACUGAGGUGGAGGUGAACAUAUGCUGGGGGCUGAUGUCUAAAGAGAAGUUGUCAGUUAUUUACCAUUCUAUAGAAUGCCUUGGCUGGACUCUUCAGUGAUGGGUGCAGGGCUAGAGAACAUUCAGUUGUCUGCCCUGCCCCUUACACCCCAAUCUGCCCUGAAACUCAGCACAGGAUAAGACUGUGUAAAUUACACUGGUUUAGGGAGCAGGAGAUGCCACAGAGGGUCACUUGUGCCCUGAAGGUAGAGAAGGGAAUGAGAGUUUACUGGAUAUCUGCCCCAGCCUUUCCUGUCCCCUUUUCCUUGCUAAGGAAAAAUUUGAGCCUCUGAUCUCAGUUCUGCCUCCUUCUCCUGCUUCUAAGAAACUUCUACAACUCUAGGUUUUUGAUCUGGAGAUCCCAGAUGAGGGGUGGGGCCAGCACCCUUGUUUUCUGCUCUCUGGAGCCUGCCGUGACCUGCAUGAAACAGGACUGCUGUGAGGAACUGCACAGUACUUGGACUUUUCAGCCAAUCUACAGCUAAAAGGCAGAUCCACUGAGUAGACUGUUACCCACGAUUGUGGAGGGGGAAUGCACGCUGCAUUAUUCAGUGUCAGUUUCAGGGGUGGAGGGAAAGGUUAAAACCAAUGCCUAACUUCAUUCCUUCAAAAGAAAAUCCUAAAUGUUGACUUGAAACAUAUGGCUAUGCUUAGGGAUAAAUCGUAGUCGAGUUUCUCAUGGCUAUCCUAAAACAGCAAAAGGAUCUCUGGGCUGCAUUCUCUUCCUUCAGAGCCUGGGCCUGCCCUUGACUCUCAGACCAUCAUCCCAUCAGGAAGGACCAGCCCAUCUUGCCUUAAGCCAAAGAUUGCUGGCAGAGUCUCAAGCUGUACAUGUGAAUAUGAAGGAAGGGUGCACGGCUAACCUUUAAACUCACUCCUUUGAUUUAAUUUCUUUAAAAAAGCUGAUUUAAGCAAGGGGAACUUUGAAUGCCCUUUGCUUUUCUAGCCCAGGGAAUCUGACUCAGGGACCUUUGUGGACUGGAAUGUCCUGAACUGGCCAAGACUUGAGAAAAACCUCAGGUGCCCAGGGCACUGGCUGAGUCACGGUGCAGCAUCACAUGGCCUGGUUUGCCCCAGGUUUGCCCCAGGUUUGCCCCAAGAUGCCCCUAAACAGAGAGCUGGCCCCUCUCCAGGUCCUGCUUCACCUGGUUCUAUCUCUUCUCCAGGGUCACUGUCCUGCCAUCCAAAAUGCAUUCUCCUCCAACUCACUUGGUUAAAAUGGCUUGGUUGCAGUGCCCGGGAGCCUGUUGAGAUGUAGAUGCGUACACAGCUCAGCUUUCCAGGUCAACACAUCCUGGAAAAGGGGUUGUAAAGAAUAUCUUCAUGAUGCAGACCAUAUUUCCCCACAGAAACACUGUCAUAACUGUGGUGCACUUCCACCCAGAGACCUGGCACCCAGGGCAUCCCCGUGAUAUCCCCAGCAUAUCCUAAAAGCUAGUAUGUCCUGAAAGCUCUGAGAUCAUUUAUCAGAAGAACUCUCUGACAAGCCUUUCGCCCUUCAUGCUGGCAGGGCCCUUAUCUCAUGACUCAGUGUCUUGCACUGAGCUGCCCCUCCCCAGCCACACGUGCAGGAGCCCCUUUCCCUCCUCUCUUGGCCUUGAUCUUGAGGCUGUUAGCCCGCUAGUCAUUCUGCGUUGGCUGGUUCUUCUCUUUUCCUCCCUCAUUUCCUUUCAUUAAAAGACUUUUGAACAAUUCACAAUUUCAUAUGCCUUUCCAUCCCUGCAACUCCCACAUUGACAGAAUCCACCCUGUGAUGAGCCCCAGACUGUCAUAACAGCAACCCUCCACACAUGACUAAGCCCAGGGAACCCCCAUGUAACACACAUCCGGGGCGUCACACGGCCUGAAGAUACCUCAAUCCACUACGCCUUAAGGGGAAAGGCUAGCUAAGUGGAGCAUUCCUUUUCCCCAAAGAUGUUUAUUGAGUUCUUUCCAUGUGUCAGCACUUUCCAAGGCACGUAGGAGGCAGCUGCGAGUAAAACAGACAGGCCAGGUGUGGUAGCUCACACUUGUAAUCCCAGCACUUUGGGAGGUCAAGGUGGGAGGAUCACUUGAGCUUAGGUUCGAAACCAGCCUGGGCAACAUAGAGAGAUCCCAUUUCUACUAAAAAUAAAAAAAAUGAGCCAGGCAUGGUGGUGUGCACCUGUAGUCCCAGCUACUCAGAAGGCUGAGGUGGGAGGAUUGCUUGAGCCCUCAACCUGAUCACAUUGCAGCCUCAACCUCUAUCACACCACUGCACUCCAGCUGAGUGACAGAGUGAGACCCUAUCUCAAACAACAAAAACGAAAACACAGAUUUGAAAGUUUUGCUUAUAUGAAGCUCUAGAGGGGAAGCUAUAAAUGGCAUUUGUCCAAUGAGCAGAAAGACUUGGGAGUCAGGAAGUGUGAGGAGCUAGCCUAGAUGCCUCCAUGCUGAGUAGAGGCUAAGUCACUCCCUCUCUGAUCCAGUCUCCUCAUGUGGAAAAUGAAAAGACUGGACUUGGUCACAUAGAAGGGCUCUCCACUGUGACCCACUGAGGGCACUUCAAUUCAUGACCCUAUAGACUCUUGUACUAUAGACUCUUAGACUUCUCAGCCAAGAGACUGGAGCUCCCCUGCCUCUCCUUCGGUGUAACAUUCGAGCCAACUCCCCUCUCUGCCCCCACGAUUCUUUCCUGCUUUGCUCAUUCUUUGGCCUUAAGAAAGAGAGAGAUCACAUCUCCAUCAGUUUCACCUGCUCGCCUUCCCCUCUUAUUCCCCUUGUACCUCCCACUCUCCAUUUUUAUAUGGUCGCAAACAUUUUUCAAGAACAGUUUUAAGUGGCCCCUUCUUCGAAGAUGGCUUUUGUGGGUGGAAUGCCUCUUUGGGGUCACUGUGAUGCCUUUGGGGGCAUCUGUUCCCUUAAGCAUGCCCAAGGAAGCAGUGGACAGAUCCGCAGGAGGAAUUCAUACAGUUGGUGCAACAGAACCACUGGAAAACAAUUAACAGGCUGAACACCAGAGUAAGGACGGUGGCCAAAGAACAGGCACCCCGUGGUAAACAAUUACCAGUGUGUCAGGGACGCCAACAUAGGUCAGCUGUCAGCCAGGAAAUCGUUUCACAAGUGUAAAAUGUGGAUCUUGCGGAAGUGGAAUUUAGGGAAAGCGUUGUUUUGUUUUGUUUUCUUUAUUUGGGAGGAUGACCACCUGGUCGCCCUGCAGCUCCCCUUGGUUUCUGAGACAGCUGGUCUUGGCAUCCACCUCUCCUCCAAAAGAAAGUGGCUCAGAGGCCUUUCUAAUUUUGACCUUCUGGCUAAUGAUCACGAUGGACAAGGCCAGUUCCUGCUUUAUGGACCGGGUCUGGGCUCCUGACAGUAUGCAGCAUUGUAUGUCCACAUUUUGAGAGACACCGAAUCUUUUUUUUUUUUUUUUGGCAUGGAAGUAGUGGGUUCUUUCUUGUUUGUUUAUUUUUUGAGAAUACACAACUUUGCAUCUAUGGUACUUGUGAAGAUUUUAUGUUUUACCCGAGUAUCUAGGGAACCUGGAGUUAAGGUCAGUGUCCAGGCUUUAAGGACUAUCCUGGAAGGGAUUUGGUCAGCAGGAACAGGACACUUUGGGGUUCAGAUCUGGUCUAGAGACUCAGGUCCCUAUGAGCCACUGUGACAUUUAACCUAACUUGGCAUGGGCACAGGCUCUUUGAGUUUUCAAAGUGUUUCUGUGUUUCUUCUGUCUCUGUUCCUCAGAACAGUUUUGGAAAGCAGGCAGGGCAGGUGUGAACAUCUUUGCAUGCUGGAUAAGGCUCAACAAGGCUAAAGCUUUUUUUUUUUUUUAAAGACGGAGUCUCGCUCUAUCACCCAGGCUGGAGUGCACUGGGGCGGUCUCUGCUCACUGCAACCUCCACCUCCUGGGUUCACGCGAUUCUCCUGCCUCAGCCUCCUAAGUAGCUGGGAUUACAGACGUGUGCCACCAUGCCUGGCUAAUUUAUGUGUUUCUAGUAGAGAUGGGAUUUCACCAUGUUGGCAGGCUGGUCUUGAACUCCUGCCCUUGUGAUCUGCCGGCCUCAGCCUCCCAAAGUGCUGGGAUUACAGGCAUGAGCUGCACCUGGCCAAGAAAGGCUAAAGCUUGUACAUGGCAGUCAAGACUGGAGUAAGAUCUCCUAGUAUGGAUGUCAGGAGUCUUUUCCCCAGACAAUAGUGUGAUUAGGUGGUCUUCUGUGAGAACCCUGCUCAGACAGGGCAGUUGUACUCAUGAAAACAUAUUUGUGGUAUCUAGCUGCUAACCUUAUUCUAGGAAAUACUUGGAUUUAAUAGUAACUCGAGAGAGGUUGGGCCUGCCACAUUGCUUGGUAUCAGCAUGUGGCCAACCAGAUACCACCUUCCCCAGAAGGCCCAAGCCACAGAACCCUGACAAGCAUUUUCCUGGGUGGUUCCUGAUUCUGCUUCAAGAAGAUCAAAGGAGAAACUGCAUCUUCUAAAUAUCUGUGGCUCCCUAGGGAAGCGAGAGCUGCCAUUUCAAAGGGCUUCAGGGGCUCUGCUCUCUGCUCUCCGGUUCUCACUCCAGUGUGUCUUUCCCCUGAGGCUACAUUCCCUGCUGGGAUACUUUGGCCUCUGGAUUAUGGGGGAGUACUGACCGAACCCCAAGAUCCUCACGUUCUCAGGCACUGCAUGGGACAUCUCUUUGACAUACGGCCCUAACGAUGGCUGGACUUCCUGCUAGCCUUUUCUUGUGGAUGCAGGGUCUCACUUUGUCACCCAGGCUGGAGGGCAGUGAUGCAAUCAUAGUUCACUGCAGCCUUGAGCUCCUAAGCUUAAGCCAUCCUCCUACCUCAGCCUCCUGAGUAGCUGGGACUACAGGUAUGUGUGCUAUCACACCUGACUAAGUUUUUAAAAUUUUUUUGUAGAGACAGAGUCCCACUAUGAUACUCAGGCUAGUUUGCUGGCCUUUUCAUAAAAGAACAAAGAACUGUCAUCCUCAGCUUAGCAACGUAAACCUCCAUCCAUGAAAAACACCUGCUGAUAGCUAGUCAUUUGAAGAGAUAGAGCAUUUCUUAAAAUGGUACAUGAGAAGGUUUGCAGAGCAAUUGUCUAGAAUCCUUCUGGUCUUGCUAACACUGCCAGCCGAGUGAGCUUCCUCAGUGAAUCAGAGUAGAACCCUGCAUUGACGCGUUUCUAACCACUUGGACCAGCUGCAGCUCAUACUGCCCUCAUCUCCCCAAAGAGUGUUCCACGCAGUAAAUAGUAGAUUGGUGCCAAAGUAAUUGCGGUUGUUGCCAUUUUAAUUACCAACUUGAUACUUGCAUGAAACAGCUUCCAAGGCACUUUCUAGGGCCUCAUUAUAGAGAGGUAAGUGUUGGGGGCAAAGGAAUUCACUGUGUGCCCGUAGGAGUUUAAUGUCUUUUUUAAGCCAGGAAUGGAGAAGUGUGACAAACGUACAGACCGUAAGAGCCACAGACCACCUCAUUAAAUGUCAGAGCCAUUUCCCAGGUUGGGGAGAAGUGAAAAUCCUCAAAGAAAACCCACCUCAUCAAUUAAUGAAGAUGUUUUUCAAAUGUGGUAAAUGUUCAAGAGACAUUUCUAAUAGACACAGAGCAUUCACCAGAGGACUUAAAGGAUAAAAGCCCCAGAUUUCUCGUGGGAUGUGGAGGGAGGGGGCGGUGAGAAGGAAGAGGUUUCUCUACAUGGUGUACUCCGUUGUCAAGAAGCAGCUGGUUUGUGAUUUCAGGGUUCAGAUGAUUUUCAGUGGCUUCUCCCUUCUUUUCAAGGACCUUUCUGUCGUGGUAGGUAUUGCUUACUCUUCUAGAGCCACCAUUAGGAUUGUUGUGUGGUUAAAAGAGAAUCCACCAGGCACAGUGAUGUGCACCCGUAGUCCCAGCUACUUUGGAGGUUGAGAGGUGGGAGGAUUACUUGGGCCCAGGAGUUUGAGGCUGCAGUGAACUAUGGUCUUGCGCUGCACUCCGGCCUGGGUAACAUAGCAAGACCUUAUCUCAAACAAAAAAGUUUUUUAAAAGAAUGUAAUAAGUGUACAGCCUCACCUACCCUUUACUGAACAGCAUGUAUUGCUCUUACUUGUUAAACAUUAUAAACAGCAAUUCUUAGGUUCCACUGCAAGGGUGAGACAAACUGAAGCCUGCCUACGUAUGUUUAAGGCAAAAGAAAAACAGAAUUCAUUAAAAAAAAAAUUGUAAAAGCUCGGCACAGUACUACAUGCCUGUUAUCCCAGCUACUUGGGAGGCUAAGGUGGGAGGCUCCCUUGAGCCCAGGAGUUCAAGGCCAGCCUGGUAAACCUAGCGAGACCCUCUCUCAGACAAAAAAAACAAUCACAGCCAAAGAGAAUCCACAAAAAGCUUAUGCUUCAGUGCCUGACACACAGCAAGCAUUUGAGGGUAUUUGCUGCCUUAUGUUAUUUAAAAUAUCACUGCUUGGGGAAAGCUCUAUACACAGACUGCAUGGCAAGGGGUUCCACAGAUGUUAACUUGUGUCUGGGCCAGCAGAGGUGGGGGGCAUUGUGUUGCACUUCUA